rnacentral:lncRNA from 7 species
AGGCGCUCGCCCGCCGCGUCGUCUCCCUUGACCCCGCGCGUAGGCACGCCGCAAACAUGCGGAGGAGUCUCCCACGCAUGCCAUCGAGCACCUGCCCCCACGCACCGAAGCUCCGUUGAGCCACCAUCUGCACCGCCCUCAUUGUCGCGUCAUAGUGCUGCGCCGCGUUCGUCGUCGUCGCGUCGCACUCCCAAAGUUCACCAGCGUCUUUGUCGUCGAGCUGGGAGUCGUGCUGCCUCCACGUC